AAUAUCCUUCAGAGGACGAGCUAAAGAAAACAGGAGCAGCCCCGCCCUUUUUUUCGCCAAAAGUUAAAAAUUGAGAAUUGUUUUCCUGCACACAUUUUAGUUGACCGCUCUCUUACUCUCUCUCUCUCAUCUGCAUCUCUUCCUCAUCGAAUGAAGCAGACAAAAUUUGAGCUCAGAUUCUUUAGCUCUGAGGAAAACAAAUUCACUCACCAUGGGUGAUUCUCUCUCCUUCUCGAUCUAUCUCUCACCUUUUCUUCUGGCCAGAUCUGUAUGCUUUGGUUCAUGAUUAUUCUCUCUCAAACACUCGUUUUCUCCCACAGCCCCUCUUUCCAUUUCUUACCUAUCUCAAUGUCACCCACCAAAUUGAGUUUCGAAGAACUUGGUGGCCACUGGGUUGACCUGGAUUCAGGGAUUAUUCGCUUUGGGUAUCUCAAUUCAGUCUCGUCUCUUGUCGAAUCCAAUUCAACUUGAUGCUUCAAAUUCAACAGCUGGGUUUCUCGUGUCGGGCUCGUCCGAGCGGCGUGUGGAAGCACUUGAUCGAAGCAGCAGUAGCAACAUGUCCCCCUCCACCUCUGUCGCCAAUUUGGUGAAUAUGUUAGAUGCGGGAUGAAGGAAAUAUUUUGACCAGGGCAGGCUUUACCCUUCCAGGGGCUGAUCGAUGUUGAUGAAUGAGAUAUCCAAGGGGUCAACAUUCCCUUUUUUGUGUUACAGUUUAGCCUCUAAUAGAAAUUUUGUUGCUUCUAAAUUUACUAGCAAAGGCUCCUUUGAUAUAGAAACUCUCGUCCCACAGUUCCUAUAUUCAUGCUUAUAUCUUUCUUUAAGUUUAACUGCAUUCUAUCACACGAGCAGUACAUAAAUCAAACUAAGUAUAGUAGCUUGAAGUAGAUUUUAAAGAUUUAACUCUCACUCUGAAAGGAAAAGACAAAAAUCUUUUGAGGAGUGUUACUGGAAAACUUUUUCCUGGUCGAGUUUCAGCAAUCAUGGGUCCUUCAGGAGCUGGGAAAACAAACAUUUCUUUCUGCAUUAUCAGGAAAAGUAACUGGAUGCACUGUGACAGGUUCAAUUCUAAUAAAUGGAAAAGCUGAACCAAUGACUGCCUACAAGAGAAUCAUUGGCUUUGUGCCUCAAGACGAUAUUGUGCAUGGAAACUUGACUGUGGAGGAGAAUCUCCGAUUUAGUGCAAGGUGCAGGAUUUUGGUUUGGGUACACUUGUGACUAUCUUGUGGAUUUUCUUAUUGCAGAGGCUGCAUCAUAUAGUAUUGCUGUUUUCAUGGACAUGUCAUUUUGGGAGACCCUUGAUUAGUUUUCCUCAGGUAUCUUUCAUUCCUUCCAAUAAUUUUGUUGACUUGAUUAGUUUAAACUUGAUACACUUAUUGAUAUGAUUAAAGUGAACCAAUCUGAGAACUACUUUGUAGUUCAGAUUCCCCCACAAAACUGUACAAUGCUUUUAUGGUUGCAGUAGAGAAAGGAAAUACACACUAGGCCAAUAACGUCAAUAUACAACACUUUUUACACAACGAAUUUUUUUUUUUUUGUUGUGUGAUGAAGGAAAGUGAAUCAUACAACACAUUUAAGAAACUUUCGUCGUAUAAGGCUGUUAAAAUUCAAAAGUUCUUAGUUAGAAACUCAUUGCACAAUACUUAUAAGAAAGGUCUGUUGUGUGAAUGGAAAAAAAAUAAGAGGCACAUUUCCCUCCUAUUUCUGCUCAAACUUCCCUCCUCUAUAGUACAACAGUCUAUUUGUAUCUGUUGUAUGAGUGUAGCUUGCAAAAUGUCAUACAACAGUUUUUUACUUUGUGUUGUCCAAAUGAGGAAGAUAUAUUGGGAAGGUUUAGAUGUAUCCCAGAAUGACAUUCAUUUCCCCCAAAGCGAACAAAUUUUGAUUGAAAUGUAGGUUACAUAUAUGUACUCCUACAACAUAAUUACUUAUUUGUGUUGUCUGAAUGAAAAACGCCUAUACCUAGCGCCAAAAAUGAUACUUUGAUUGCACAUAAGCGGGAAUUUUCCCUCUUUGCUCCCUCAGCUCAAUUUUAAUAUGUAGAUAAUCAGACAACAUAACUUGAUUUAUGUGUUGUCUGAGUCACGGACACAAAAUAAAAGAACCAAAUGCGCGCCUUUGACAAAUUAAUUAGGGCUAUCUAGCUACCUUCUCUAUUAUGAGAUUCUCUCACCCCCACUUAAGGCUGUUUCAACACUCCGAUAAAAACUCUCCCUUUUCUUCGUGCCAGCACCCAAACUCUCCCUCUUCAGAAUUUCAUUCGAGCCAAACAACCAUCACUCACCCAAUACUAAAAUCAGUCUCUUUGAAUCACCCAAUACUGAAAUCGGUCUCUUUGAAUCACCCAAUACUAAGGGGAAAUCUUGGAUUGGGAAUCCGGGUCUUCAAUUUCGAAACCCAAUUAGGUCAUUCUCUCUUUCUCGCUCGUCUUCUCCGGCACGACACCAACAACUUGUCUUCUUCCCUAUAACAAUCAUCAUUUCUCACUUCCUGUCUCACCUUCUUCACCUCUACAACACAACGGAGGAGAGAGAAAGCACGUAGAUGAGAAUGAAUUCGAGGAGAGAGAAAACAGAUCUGGGAUUUCUCUCUCCUCCAUUGCUAACGAUGCUGGGUAUGGGUAGAGCUCCUAGUGGCGGAACCUCUCUUUUCAAUCAUCAAGUUCUCUCUUGGCCUCACUGGUAACCUCUCUUUUCAAUCUGUUUAUUUUCGAAUCUUUAAAUCUGUAGGUUAUUCUCUGGUUUUAAAGAAAGUGAUUUAAAUGGUUAUUAGCAUCGCCGCAGUGGCAGUGGGAAAACGCCACCGCCUGAUUCGCCACCGUUGCCGCUAUGCAUCCCCUCCUGGGUUUGCUUGAUAUAUUGGAGGUAAAGUUAAAUCCGUGCUUCACCUCCUGGGUUUUUGAUGAUUUACUGCUUCAUAUUUCUUUCUGUUACAGGGACUGCGAGGAUCUAUGCCUCUAUGGAGGCUUCUCUCCUGCUGUGAUCGGUUCUACUCUAUGGAGGUUUAUAUUUCUUCAUGUUUGAGAGCCCCAGUGCUCUAGCUAUCGUAGUGGCUAAUCCAAUAGACCUUGUAAAGGUUCGACUCCAAGCUGAAUGAAAAUUGCCCAGCCCACUGGAGUUCCUAGGCAUUACUCUGGAGUAAAGAUGCCUAUUUCACUAUAGUGAGGCAUGAAGGUUUAGGAGCUCUAUGGACUGGGGUGGGACCAAAUGUAGGAUGAAGUGCAAUUAUAAAUGCUGCUGAGCUAGCCAUUUAUGAUUAAGUGAAGGAGACAGUUUUGAAAAUUCCAGGGUUCACUGACAAUAUUUUCACUCAUCUCCUAGCUGGUCUGGGUGCUGGUUUUUUUGCAGUUUCUAUUGGCUCUCCUGUUGAUGUGGUCUCUCUCUCAAAACUGACUAGCCUGGAAUUAAGGCCACAUGCUAUUGAGAGUUGUGAUCUGUCAAAAUAUCAGGUUUGGGAAUAUCUAGUGAAAUGUUGCCUAAAGAGUCACUAAGUGAUCAAGCAUGGAAUACCAAGCAAUGAAGCAAAAUAUAUUUUCUUUCAUCAUGUAAAUUCACCUAGCUAGGAAACUUUAUAGCAAUGACAUGUUACUUGGAUUCAAUAUUUGGUGGAUAUAUUGGAAUUUUAUUGAUGUAUCACAUUGCUUUUGGCGUAAAUAUUAAUCAUUAUUCAUUGGAUAAUGAUUUCAAGCA